rnacentral:tRNA from 1 species
AGUCGCGUGGUCUAAUGGUCAUGAUUUUCCGUUAACAUGUGAUCAGUCAUCUGAUUACUUCUACAAUCGUAGAUGCCGGAACGGUUCCCGGUUCGAUCCCGGGCGUGACUA